GUCCACGCCCUAAACGAUGUCAACUAGUUGUCGGAGAAGCAAUUCUUUGGUAACGCAGCUAACGCGUGAAGUUGACCGCCUGGGGAGUACGGUCGCAAGAUUAAAACUCAAAGGAAUUGACGGGGACCCGCACAAGCGGUGGAUGAUGUGGAUUAAUUCGAUGCAACGCGAAAACCUUACCUACCCUUGACAUGUCCGGAAUCCCGCUGAAAGGUGGGAGUGCUCGAAAGAGAAUCGGAACACAGGUGCUGCAUGGCUGUCGU
rnacentral:rRNA from 1 species